rnacentral:rRNA from 1 species
CGACCCCAUGGUCAGGCGGGGUUACCCGCUGAAUUUAANCAUAUCAAUAAGCGGAGGAAAACAAACUUACAAAGAUUCCCCUAGUAACGGCGAGCGAACCGGGAAUAGCCAGCUUGAAAAUCGGGCGCCCAUGGCGUCCAAUUGUACGGNAAAAANCCUGNA